CCUUACCAGCCUGCUAAGACCCCCUCCCCUGCAUUGAUUGACCAGCUAAACCUGUUCACUAUCAACCCCACCCUGCUUUCUCUCAAUAAAUAUUCCCUUGCAAGAGGCCUAAGUCAGACUGCUUUCAAGCACCUCUGUACCACACAGAGUGCUGAUGGCUUCUCCGCUUGCAAGCGUAAAAUGGCCAAACUGUCUCACGUGUGGUUCUUGCAAAGAAGUUAGAGUGAGCAACACUCUAACACAGCACGUCCACCUCGCAGUUCAAAGGUGCCAAGUUUAAUUCAGGCCUUCCUGCGUUCUCCCCGUGCCCACCAAGCAAAGCAAAUAAGACGGAAGGAGGUUGAUAUCGCCGCUGAGGAACAUUGCUCGAGAGGGCCCCACGGAUUGCUUUGGCACCUGCACGAAUAGGUGUUUUUUUUCCCAUCACAAAGGCGUAGCAAAGGUGUGGUCAGGAAAUAAAAAGAAUCUCAAGAAUCUCAGCGUGUCAGGAGGAGGACAACAAAGCCCGGCAGGCGGAACAAAGCCCGAAACUGAAGGAAGGCUUCGCUAAUUGUUCCGACCACAACCACAACCUGCCAUCAAGAUGUUGACUUACAAAGUUUUCAUUAUUUUCCUUCUGCUGGUUGGAAGUCACAGUAGACCGACUCCAAGACGUGCUUUAGGGAAGCAAGGAUGGCACCUGGAAAGAAAGUGCAACUACGAAGAUGAUGAUUAUUACGACGACAAUGAUGAUGACGAU